AUACUUACCUGGCAGGGGAGAUACCAUGAUCACGAAGGUGGUUUUCCCAGGGCGAGGCUUAUCCAUUGCACUCCGAAUGUGCUGACCCCUGCGAUUUCCUCAAAUGUGGGAAACUCGACUGCAUAAUUUGUGGUAGUGGGGGACUGCGUUCGCGCUUUCCCCUG
rnacentral:snRNA from 2 species